rnacentral:rRNA from 1 species
AUGCAAGUCGAACGAAGUAGCAAUACUUAGUGGCAGACGGGUGAGUAACAUGUAGGUAUCUGCCCUUUGGCCUGGAAUAACACGAGGAAACUUGUGCUAAUACCGGAUAAGUCUUUACGGAGAAAGCUUUAUGCACCAUUGGAUGAGCCUGCACUUGAUUAGUUUGUUGGUGGGGUAAUGGCCUACCAAGACUGUGAUCAAUAGCUGAUUUGAGAGGAUGAUCAGCCACAUUGGGACUGAGACACGGCCCAAACUCCUACGGGAGGCAGCAGUGGGGAAUCUUGCACGAUGGAGGAAACUCUGAUGCAGCGAUGCCGCGUGAGUGAAGAAGGCCUUUGGGUUGUAAAGCUCUUUCGUCGGGGAAGAAAAUGACUGUACCCGAAUAAGAAGGUCCGGCUAACUUCGUGCCAGCAGCCGCGGUAAUACGAAGGGACCUAGCGUAGUUCGGAAUUACUGGGCUUAAAGAGUUCGUAGGUGGUUGAAAAAGUUGGUGGUGAAAUCCCAGAGCUUAACUCUGGAACUGCCAUCAAAACUUUUCAGCUAGAGUAUGAUAGAGGAAAGCAGAAUUUCUAGUGUAGAGGUGAAAUUCGUAGAUAUUAGAAAGAAUACCAAUUGCGAAGGCAGCUUUCUGGAUCAUUACUGACACUGAGGAACGAAAGCAUGGGUAGCGAAGAGGAUUAGAUACCCUCGUAGUCCAUGCCGUAAACGAUGUGUGUUAGACGUUGGAGAUUUAUUUUCAGUGUCGCAGCGAAAGCGAUAAACACACCCGCCUGGGGAGUACGACCGCAAGGUUAAAACUCAAAUGAAUUUGACGGGGACCCGCACAAGUAGUGGAGCAUGUGGUUUAAUUCGAAGAUACGCGCAGAACCUUACCAACCACUUGACAUGUUCGUCGCGACUCUAA